UACGUAGGGUGCAAGCGUUAAUCGGAAUUACUGGGCGUAAAGCGUGCGCAGGCGGUGAUGUAAGACAGGUGUGAAAUCCCCGGGCUUAACCUGGGAACUGCAUUUGUGACUGCAUCGCUGGAGUGCGGCAGAGGGGGAUGGAAUUCCGCGUGUAGCAGUGAAAUGCGUAGAUAUGCGGAGGAACACCGAUGGCGAAGGCAAGUCUCUGGACAUUUCCUGACGCUGAGGCACGAAAGCCAGGGGAGCAAACGGG
rnacentral:rRNA from 1 species